AUUUAUAUAGUUUAAAGAAAACUUUACAUUUUCAUUGUAAAAUUAGAACUUAAUUUCUUAUAAAUA
rnacentral:tRNA from 1 species